CCCUAAUCUUUUUUCCCCAGCCGAAGAGAGGCGGAGACUAGUGGCGGCGGCGGCACACGAGUGCACUCGGCGCGCGAUGGCUUCCAGCUCCAAGCGCCGGUGAGGCGGACGGUGGCCGGCGAUGGGACGCGACGCGCGGCGGCGGCGCGCCGGCACUGCAGCAGCCAGGGCACGCGGCUCACCGGCCACUGGCCGCUGGGGCAUGGGGGCGCCGGGCGGCAGCAAGGCAGCCAGGCAGGGCGCGGCGCGCGGGCGGGCUGGCGGGGGGACGCGGCGGCGCGCCGACACAGCAGCAGCCAAAGAGGCAACAAGGCAAGCAGGCAGCAGCGCCGGGCAGCAACAAGGCAGGCGGCAAGCCGGACAGCACCAACCAGGCAACCACCAAGGCAGCAAGGCAAGCAACAGCGCCAAGAGGCAAGGCAACAACUCAACAAUUGAGGAUUUGAGCAAGUGAGAUUACCCCUGAUGAAGAAUAAUUGGCGAUAGGGUGUGCUAGUGUCGCACAUCGUGUCAUCAUCUAUUGGAUAUUUCAAGAUUGUUUUGGUAUGGAUAAUACUUAUUUCUCGUUAAUUCUAUAUAUUUACACUUUGUAUUAGAUAUAUAGUCAAUUUACAUAAGACAUGUCUCGAUUUUUGUCGGCCAAUUUUAGUUCAGCCCCCACUAUAAUGUAAUUCUGGCUCCACCACUGAUCACCGUUGACUGCCUAAGAUCGUUGGAUCUUGCUGUAGCUAGAGGAGGAGGACGGGUAUGAAUUGCCGAGCAGAUCCUAAGAUCAAAAUUUGUAAGAUUUUGCUCAUAAUUUCCCGUCCAAUGCGAUUUAGCAAUUUUUCCUUUUUUUUUA